AGGGAGACCUAAUUCAGGUAUGGGACGAAAAAAAAGUAGUCGCUACCAAGAAUCAAUCCCAAAAGGUCGGAGCGAGGCAUGAGGCUUUCAAACUAGGUUCUGGGUUCAUAAAAGACCUGAAUCAGGAACAAGGGCUAUUAGCUCAGGUGGUUAGAGCGCACCCCUGAUAAGGGUGAGGUCCCUGGUUCGAGUCCAGGAUGGCCCACCUGCACAGGUGGCAAAAACAAGAGAAGCGAGGAAUCAGCACCUUAUCUUACUUAUAUAGUAAGAGAGAAUGCUGGCUCUGAGUACAGAGUCCAGAGGAACCUUGAAAACUGCAUAGAGCUAGGUGAAAAAGCCAAAAGAGAAGACCGCAA
rnacentral:tRNA from 1 species